GCUUACGGCCAUACCACCCUGAGCGCGUCCGAUCUCGUCUGAUCUCGGAAGCUAAGCAGGGUCGGGCCUGGUUAGUACUUGGAUGGGAAACCACCUGGGAAUACCAGGUGCUCUGAUUC
rnacentral:rRNA from 1 species